rnacentral:rRNA from 1 species
UUGGAGGGCAAGUCUGGUGCCAGCAGCCGCGGUAAUUCCAGCUCCAAUAGCGUAUAUUAAAGUUGUUGCAGUUAAAAAGCUCGUAGUUGAAUUUCGGAAUUUUUUUAUCGGUUGAAUCAACAGGUUCGUACUGAUUUUAAGAAUUUCUACCUUCUGGAGAACCUUAAUGUCAUUUAUUUGGUGUUUUGGGAAACCAGGACUGUUACCUUGAAAAAAUUAGAGUGUUUAAAGCAGGCUUAUGUCUGAAUAUAUUAGCAUGGAAUAAUGAAAUAGGACGGCAUGGUUCUAUUUUGUUGGUUUCUAGGAUCACCGUAAUGAUUAAUAGGGAUAGUUGGGGGCAUUAGUAUUCAAUUGUCAGAGGUGAAAUUCUUGGAUUUAUUGAAGACUAACUUCUGCGAAAGCAUUUGCCAAGGAUGUUUUCAUUAAUCAAGAACGAAAGUUAGGGGAUCGAAGACGAUCAGAUACCGUCGUAGUCUUAACCAUAAACUAUGCCGACUAGGGAUCGGACGAUGUUAAUUUUUUAAUGACUCGUUCGGCGCCUUACGGGAAAC